AGUUUACUUUCGGUUUCAGUUUGACGUGUUCUCGAACGGACACGUCUGUGGUCUCGUCGUCGUCUUUCUUGUCCGUAUCAACGGCUUAAAGCAGGCUGCAAUCAUGAAGACCUUCCUUGCUGCCGUCCUCUUCUUCGAUCUCUGUCUCGUGUGUCUCUCUACAACACGUCACGACCCCAUGGUUCAGGUGUACAGUCGGAACCCGGGUAGGAUGGCUGAGGAGAACGUCCUGAUCUGCCAUGUCAGCAACUUCCACCCACCAGAGAUCACAAUCGACCUUUUGAAAAACAGUGAAGUGAUUUCUGAAGCUGAGCAAUCCGACCUUUCCUUUGAGGACAACUGGCAGUAUCACCUCAUCAAGCACGCAACCUUCACCCCCACCUCGAGUGACAAGUUCGCCUGCCGGGUGACUCAUGAGAAGACAACAAAAGAGCACACCUGGGAACCAGACGAAUAACGGCUUCCGCUUCUUCCUCUUCUGGUUCCUUAAGAAUUGGAAUCACUGUGUGAAAGCAGACUGACUUUAACUACUAUGAAAGUGACUGUCAUUUGCAAUGCAAGGCACUGUACUCCAGCUCGCUUUCGGGGUCUUCAUUCAACAUCCAUCAGUCAAAUGUCUCCUGUACUGGGGGAUAUGAAUUCUUAUUAUUUGAAUUGAAGUUGAAUUUGUUUCUGCUAUGUAAUAUAUAUAACUAGAAGCUCUAUAUUCUCAUAGAUGAUUGACAGCAAACCAAAGUGUGAAUUAUCUGCUCUUUUUGCACCAAGGUCUGUUUCCCACCUGUCGACACGUUAUUCAACAUGACAGAUAUAUUAGUUAGAUAUUGUUCACGGGAGUCUCAGCCAAGAAGAUGGUCAAUGCUGCGUGACAUCUUGUACUGGUCAAAGUGAACUUUCACUGUGUGAGUUAAUAAACAUCUUGUAGUUGA